rnacentral:rRNA from 1 species
AUGGCCUUUAUGUCUGGGGCUACACACGUGCUACAAUGGCCGAUACAAACCGUCGCGAUACCGCAAGGUGGAGCUAAUCGGAGAAAGUCGGUCUCAGUUCGGAUUGCAGGCUGCAACUCGCCUGCAUGAAGUUGGAAUCGCUAGUAAUCGCGGAUCAGCACGCCGCGGUGAAUACGUUCCCGGGCCUUGUACACACCGCCCGUCACAUCACGAAAGCUGGCUGUACUAGAAGUCACCGCGCUAACCCGCAAGGGAGGCAAGUGCCUAAGGUAUGGUCAGUGAUUGGGGUGAAGUCGUAACAAGGUAGCUGUAGGAGAACCUGUGGCUGGAUCACCUCCUUUCUA